rnacentral:rRNA from 1 species
CAGUCGCCGCGGUAAUACGCAGGUGGCAAGCGUUGUCCGGAAUUAUUGGGCGUAAAGCGCGCGCAGGUGGUUUAAUAAGUCUGAUGUGAAAGCCCACGGCUCAACCGUGGAGGGUCAUUGGAAACUGUUAAACUUGAGUGCAGGAGAGAAAAGUGGAAUUCCUAGUGUAGCGGUGAAAUGCGUAGAGAUUAGGAGGAACACCAGUGGCGAAGGCGGCUUUUUGGCCUGUAACUGACACUGAGGCGCGAAAGCGUGGGGAGCAAACAGGAUUAGAUACCCCCGUAGUCCCUGUCUCUUAUAC